GUGGGGAAUAUUGGACAAUGGGCGAAAGCCUGAUCCAGCCAUGCCGCGUGUGUGAAGAAGGUCUUCGGAUUGUAAAGCACUUUAAGUUGGGAGGAAGGGCAGUAAGUUAAUACCUUGCUGUUUUGACGUUACCGACAGAAUAAGCACCGGCUAACUUCGUGCCAGCAGCCGCGGUAAUACGCAGGGUGCAAGCGUUAAUCGGAAUUACUGGGCGUAAAGCGCGCGUAGGUGGUUUUGUAAGUUGGAGGUGAAAUCCCCGGGCUCAAACUGGGAACUGCCUCCAAAACUGCAUGACUAGAGUACGGUAGAGGGUAGUGGAAUUUCCUGUGUAGCGGUGAAAUGCGUAGAUAUAGGAAGGAACACCAGUGGCGAAGGCGACUACCUGGACUGAUACUGACACUGAGGUGCGAAAGCGUGGGGAGCAAACAGGAUUAGAAACCCUGGUAGUCC
rnacentral:rRNA from 1 species